rnacentral:rRNA from 1 species
UACAGAGGUCUCAAGCGUUGUUCGGAUUCAUUGGGCGUAAAGGGUGCGUAGGCGGCGCGGUAAGUCGGGUGUGAAAUCUCGGAGCUUAACUCCGAAACUGCAUUCGAUACUGCCGUGCUUGAGGACUGGAGAGGAGACUGGAAUUUACGGUGUAGCGGUGAAAUGCGUAGAGAUGUGGAGGAAUACCGAUGGCGAAGGCAGCCCCCUGGGAUAACACUGACGCUCAUGCACGAAAGCGUGGGGAGCAAACAGG